UACAGAGGGUGCAAGCGUUAAUCGGAGUUACUGGGCGUAAAGGGCACGUAGGCGGUCGUAUAAGUCAGUUGUGAAAUCCCCGGGCUUAACCUGGGAACUGCAGCUGAUACUGUAUGACUCGAGUCGAAGAGAGGAAGCGGAAUUCCGGUGUAGCGGUGAAAUGCGUAGAUAUACGGAAGGAACAUCUGUGGCGAAGGCGGCUUCCUGGACCGGUAGUUGA
rnacentral:rRNA from 1 species